UACGUAGGCAGCAAGCGUUGUUCGGAAUUACUGGGCGUAAAGAGUGUGUAGGCGGUGCUCUAAGUCUGUUGUGAAAUCUCCCGGCUUAACCGGGAGGGUGCGGCGGAAACUGGAGUGCUUGAGGGUGGGAGAGGUAAGCGGAAUUCCUGGUGUAGCGGUAGAAAUGCGUAGAUAUCAGGAGGAACACCUGUGGUGUAGACAGCUUACUGGACCACUUCUGACGCUGAGACACGAAAGCGUGGGUAGCAAACAGG
rnacentral:rRNA from 1 species